UGCAGAACCAUGCUGCUGUAUUCCGUUCAGCUGAGAGUCUGCAGGAGGGCUGUCAAAAGAUGGACUCUUUAUACAAGUCACUGUCUGAUCUCAAGGUGUUUGAUAGCAGCUUGGUAUGGAAUACUGACCUGGUGGAGGCCCUGGAACUG